rnacentral:rRNA from 1 species
AUGAGCUUCUACAGCCUGCCUGAGACUCUGCACCAUGAGAUUGGUUCGAUCCAGGAACACUUCUUUUGGGCAGGCGAGGGGGACAAGCAGAAAUAUCACAUGGUCCGCUGGCCUGACAUCUGCAAACCUCGCAACCAAGGCGGCCUCGGUAUUAUGUCCUCCAAACGCAUGAACAUUGCCCUCCUGACGCGUUGGCUAUGGCGGAUUGCCAAUGGUGAGGGCGGUCUUUGGCUACAGAUCAUUCGGAACAAAUACCUGCGCGGACAACCUCUAGCUUUUGCCAGAGGGCGGGAGGCUCCCAAUUCUGGCAAUCCAUCAUCCAGCUGCUCCUGCUCCUCCGGAUUGGGACUUCCAUCGCUGUGGGAAUGGGAUCAACCACAUUAUUCUGGUUCGAUAGAUGGGCGGGUGAAUCUCCCUUUGCGGCUCGCUUCCCGGACUUGUUCGCCGUCACUGUAG